rnacentral:misc_RNA from 1 species
GAUGAAGAACGUGGCGAAAUGCGAUAAGUAAUGUGAAUUGCAGAAUUCAGUGAAUCAUCGAAUCUUUGAACGCACAUUGCGCCCGCCAGUAUUCUGGCGGGCAUGCCUGUUCGAGCGUCAUUUCAACCCUCAGGCCCCCAGUGCCUGGUGUUGGGGAUCGGCCCAGCCUUCCUGUAAGGCCGCCGGCCCCGAAAUCUAGUGGCGGUCUCGCUGUAGUCCUCCUCUGCGUAGUAGCACAACCUCGCAGUUGGAACGCGGCGGUGGCCAUGCCGUUAAACACCCCACUUCUGAAAGUUGACCUCGGAUCAGGUAGGAAUACCCGCUGAACUUAAGCAUAUCAAUAAGCGGAGGA